rnacentral:rRNA from 1 species
GACGAACGCUGGCGGCAUGCUUAACACAUGCAAGUCGAACGGAAAGGCCCUGCUUUUGUGGGGUGCUCGCGUGGCGCACGGGUGUGUAGCACGUGAGUAACCUGCCCUUGACUGUGGGAUAACUUCAGGCAAGUGGGGCUAAUACCGGAUAGGAGCGCGUGCUGCAUGGUGGGGUUUGGAAAGUUUCGGCGGUUGGGGCUGGACUCGGGGCUUAUCAGCUUGUUGGGGGGGGAGUGGCUUACCAAGGGUUUGGCGGGUAGCCGGCCUGGGAGGGUGACCGGCCACAAUGGGACUGCGGGACGGACCAGAGUCGUAUGGGGGGCAGUGGGGGGGAAUAUGGCACAGUGGGGGGAAGCCUGUUGCGGAAACCCUCCGAGCGGAAUGACGGUCUUCGGGUUGGAAACCGCUUUCGCCUGUGACGAAGCGGGUGUGACGGUAAUGGGUAAAGAGGCACCGGCUAACUACGUG